AUGCGCUGCACUCGCCCACAACCCCAACUUCACAUUGCACGUCGAGUACGAAUUCUGCGUGCGCUCGCUUUCAGCCGACCCGAUGGUCUCUUCCGCCACGGACGCCCGCGGGCUAGCGGCGGCCGCGGCAAGCCUUACCGUCGCCAACAUAACGUCCACGGAGCUCAUCAUCGCCGACCUCGUCAAAAAUCUGGGCAGUUGUCUCUCCGACUACAAAGAGAUUAA
rnacentral:rRNA from 1 species